rnacentral:rRNA from 1 species
AGAGUUUGAUCAUGGCUCAGGAUGAACGCUGGCGGCGUGCCUAACACAUGCAAGUCGAACGAGAAGCUAACUUCUGAUUCCUUCGGGAUGAUGAAGUCAGCAGAAAGUGGCGAACGGGUGAGUAACGCGUGGGUAAUCUACCCUGUAAGUGGGGGAUAACCCUCCGAAAGGAGGGCUAAUACCGCAUAAUAUCUUCACUUCUACAAGAAGAGAAGAUUAAAGAUGGCCUCUAUACUAUGCUAUCGCUUCAGGAUGAGCCUGCGUCCUAUUAGUUAGUUGGUGGGGUAAUGGCCUACCAAGACCACAAUGGGUAGCCGGUCUGAGAGGAUGUACGGCCACACUGGGACUGAGAUACGGCCCAGACUCCUACGGGAGGCAGCAGUGGGGAAUAUUGCGCAAUGGGGGAAACCCUGACGCAGCGACGCCGCGUGGAUGAUGAAGGCCUUUGGGUUGUAAAAUCCUGUUCUGGGGGAAGAAACCUUAAGGGUCCAAUAAACCCUUAAGCUGACGGUACCCCAAGAGAAAGCUCCGGCUAAUUAUGUGCCAGCAGCCGCGGUAAUACAUAAGGAGCAAGCGUUAUCCGGAAUUAUUGGGCGUAAAGAGCUCGUAGGCGGUCUUAAAAGUCAGGUGUGAAAUUAACAGGCUCAACCUGUUAAGGUCAUCUGAAACUUUAAGACUUGAGGAUAGAAGAGGAAAGUGGAAUUCCCGGUGUAGCCGGUGAAAUGCGUAGAUAUCGGGAGGAACACCAGUGGCGAAGGCGGCUUUCUGGUCUAUCUCUGACGCUGAGGAGCGAAAGCUAGGGGAGCAAACGGGAUUAGAUACCCCGGUAGU